AGGCGGCGCUGGCUGCCUGCCGGCGCCCAAACCCUCUCUCCUCCCCACUCCUUAACCACCGGCCCAGCCAGUAUCGCCCAUCCCAAGCCCUGCGAGGAACCAGUUGGGAACCGGUCCUGUAAUGAGGCGCUCUGGGUGCAGGGCCCGGCUGGGGUGGCUUUAAAAGGGAGCGCCGGGACGCGGGCCCGGCUCCGGCUCUCGGCGAUGUGGGGCAGCUCCCGCGCCGGCUGGAAGAGGAGGUUCAGCUGCUAUGGUCCCUGCGAGUCGGCCGAGAGCUGCAUCGUGCGCACCUCCGCCAGCGUCUACCGCCGGCUGCAGGAGAGCCCGCGGCAGCCCCGGCGGGGAAUGAGCACCCGCGGGCCCCCCAGCAGCCCCCCGGCCGCAGGGAGACCCCCCAGGUCCGAAUCCGAGGAUUCCGGCGUGGAGACGGCCAGCACCGAGCACUCGCCCCGCAGCCCGCUGGGCUCCGAGAGCCGCUUCUCCCUGGAUGGUUUCCCGUUGGAGCAGCCCCCCGGAGAUGAGGAGCAGCCCCCCAAGAGCCGCCCGGCCAGCCGGAGGCUGCUGCAGGCAGCGCAGCGGAGCCGGAGGCAGCGCUGCCCGCGACAGCUCAGCCGGCGCAGCGCCAGCGCCGCCGACCUGGCCGAGCCCCCCCGGGACCCCGAGAGGGCCGAGGGGUCUCCUCGGGACCCCCGGGCCGUGCCCGAGCUGCCGGGGCAGGGGCUGCGCUACCUGGAGCACGUGUGCCAGAUGCUGGAGCGCCUGGCGCGGCUGCAGCAGGACAACCGCGCCCUGCGGCAGCAGGCGGCCGGAGCCCGCACGGCCACCCUGCCCGGCCGGCAGCACCCGAGGAGGGAUUUGGGCACCUGGAGGGGUGAAGGGUUCCGGCAGCGCUCCUGCUCCGACAGCCAGGCGCCAGCAGCCGAGCCCGGGCCGUGCCGGCGGCUCUGGGGACACUCGGUCAGCUCCCCCAGCCUGCUGGAGCCCGCCGAGGGCGGCGCGGCUGGCCCGGCACCGGACAAGGUACGGCUGGGGAGGGUCGGGGGAUGCCGGGGGGGUCCCUGGGGUGUCCCCCCGCUGAUCCCCCCACCCUGUCCCGCAGGACGGCCGCUCGCACUGGGGCCGGGUGAAGGUGCUGCUCACCCGCCUGACCCGCCGCUCCCUGCGCGGCAGCCGCUGCAGGUAGGACCGAGGGGUCCCGCUCGCUCCCACCGCCACACCUGGAUGGAGGAACUACGUCACACCUCACCCCAUGACGUCACGCCAGCACGGGGCCGGUCCCCGGCCUGGCGCGCCCCUUCACGUUUUUUGUUUUUCCCUCAAUAA
ensembl:lncRNA